GGAGGGUAUAGCUCAGUUGGUAGAGUGCUUGCUUUGCAUGCAUGAGGUCCUGGGUUCAAUCCCCAGUACUUCCA
rnacentral:tRNA from 1 species